UUCUUUUGAAAAAAUCAUCUGGUUAAAAGUUUGGAAUCUUGAGUUGUUCCUCUGGUGGAAUGAUUGAUGGUGGAGUCAUCCCUCUGUGAAUCAAACUUGUUUAUUAGAAAGUUAAUUGCCCCAUUUCUCUGAGUAGAAGUGAAUUGAAGCAGCCCAAGCCAGUUUCUCAUCUCCUAGAAUGCAGCUGCUUUCCAGACAGCACAUUUGCUGUUUCUCCACAGAUGCAGAGAGAUGCAUCCACUAAGCAUGACUGUCCUGUUCCCAGAUGAGAAAAGGACCAGGUUUUCAGGCAACGUGAAAGAGACAAACGUCCACGUGCCUCUCCUGGCCUGUCUUCAGCCAGAGCAGCGAGCUUAUUAGGGAAGAUAUGGAAGAAGAAAGAAGUACUGUUGCUACAGGAUGCAUUCCAGCUGGAAUAAUCUCAACAGAGGUGAUUCUACAGCAAGUCUUGUGGUCAUUCAGCAACUUCUCCAUUCUCUACGUGUUUCUAAGAGCACAGAUUUGUGGAGAAGCAGAUCUUCUGAACCACUAAAGCUGGAAUGAAGAAGCUCUAUUAACUGGGUAAAGGAGAUUCACUCAUUGCAACACAUCUGAAAGAUCUAUAUGCUGAAAGAGGACUACACCCAAAAGGGAAAAAUUAUACAUUAGAAGAAGCAUGAAGCCAAAAGGACUUCAGAAAUUAUUAAAAAACACUAUACAUUUUAAUACCAAAUAAGAGUCUUGUAAACUUUUGAACCAGCCUAUAAAACUCAAUAGAACAGUAUGACAGCACUAAAUUGGUUAACGGAUUCAAAUUUUGUUGAAGUUUUCUUUUCCCGCAAAAAAAUAAAUGCAUCAUUUUGAAAGAUCCUUGCAGAUGGAGUGAUCAGCUGGUUGACCUAAGAUGACAAACUAGAUCCUUUCCAUGUAUAAAUUGGAUGCUCAGCAAAUAUCCUAGUAAAUGCUGGCCCCAGAAAAAAGUUCACUCAGUCUUUUUCACACCUUGACAGAUUAUAUAGCAGUUAAUAAUUAAGCAAAAGGAAGUUUUGUAUAAAAAAAUCUGCCAUCAUAUAGGAAAUAUAUAUGUUCUAACUCUGUAUGUAGAGUCCACUGGUGUGGCUAUGAGUGGUAUCUUUGCUGACCAAUAACACUGCUGGUAAACUAUCAGGUAAUUAUAAGUCUGAAGAAAAGGAUCCACACAGAGGCCAAUUGAAUAGCAACUGAACUGGAAAAAAGACAAGUUGUAGGCACAAGUAUGGAUUUACCAGAAAAAGGAAAAAGAAAAAGAAAAAAAGAUUUCUGCUUGUGAGAAACAAUGUGGCUGUACUGCUUGCUGAGCCCAGAUUCUCUAUCUUGCCAUAGGAUUAGCUUGGUUCUACCUAUAUGUAGGCAGAAAUUUGUUUGAAAGAGUCAAAUGAAGAAUCCAUAUUCUUUAGUUAUUUAUAUAGUUUGUCAGAACAGGAUUCAAAUAUUGUCAGUCAUCUUGAAUUAUAACUAGUUUACAGCUUGUGCUCUGAACCCAUCCACUCUUUUGAUCUUUUUACCUUAAGAAUGCAACGUGGGAAAUAACUUUAAAGUGAAUGAUACACAUCUGAAGGACUGUCACAAAAAAUAAAUAAGAAUUCAGAAACAUUCCGUGUUAAAAAAAAAAAAAAAGUACCUUUUUAGAACUGAGAGAGAAUUUGAGCUCUUGUGCUCAUUCAUUGCAGAAUUUAAGUGUAAUAUUUUACCUCUUCCUUAGCAGCAAAGAAGCGACAUCAGAUGUGGGAGAUGUAUCUGUAGAUUUUUACAUCUCACAAAUAAUCAGCGGUUUAGAGUCAAUAAAACUACUUACCUAAAAUAGAAUACUGGAAGGUUUAAGUGUCUGUGUUGAAACUGUGACUUGAAAACCUUGCAUUCAGCGUCUGCCUGACUAGAGAGUCAUUUAAAUAUAACCAUCUUCCAUGUUAGCUCUAAAUGUUUUUGAGAGCACAUGAUAUUCUGUUUCUGACCAUUCUCAGAAGGGCUCAGGGUGAAGGCAUGUACCUCGAUCUGAAUUAAGCAGUCUGGGAAUCCAGAAGAUAAAUGGUAGCAUUAGCUUGUAGCUGAGACUUGGAAAGUGCAUCAGACACAUGUAGUAUAUGCCAAUAAAACUGGGAGCCUUUCAGAAGGAGACGACUUUUUACAUCUGCUUUGACCUCAGGCAUUUAAACUCUUAUUUUGGAGGAGGCACACCUCCUCUGGUUCCCUGGAACCCACUGGGUUCCAGGCUAGUCUACAUAGCUGUACAGAUGUGCACUACAACUGCAAAACUAGUUAAGAUUCAAGGAGAUAGAUAAGGAAAGAAACAAUUUUUAUGGAGCAAGAAGGAUUCUGACCUUUGUCUUUGCCCCAUACAUUAAAUAGUAGAACUAAGAAUAAUCUAAUGUUGCAUCAUUAACAUCUCAUCUUCAUCAGUGGCUAUGUUUUAAAAAAAACAAACAACGGAGCCUUUGAAAUAAAAGUUGAAUUACUCUGAUGGUGCACACUGAGUGGAUGGAAAUAACCACAGUCUUCCACUGUGACAGAGUGCCUAAACUAUGUAGGUUGGCAUUAUCUGACUUUCAAAAUUAUGAGUUAGGCUCUAGAUAACUCCACAGUGUUUGUAUUUUGUUAGCCCUCUCACAUAUCAUCAUCUGUUCUCUGUAGAUAACAGGUCUCUAAUCUUGGCUUUGGAUUCUAUUUUGUGGUCUGAAACCAUUGUGAGUGUCUGUGAGCACCUCUGCACCUUUCUGGAGCAUCUUGUGGGCAACAAGAGUUUUAAGUGGAGAACUUAAGACGUGCUCAGCACUUUUGCUUUAACUGCUUUUGUCAUUUGUCUUUCUGGCAUCUCUAUAGAGUUCAUGGAUAUUUCCCUUGUAAUUCUUGAAAGUUUAACUUGUACCUCAGUCUCCUGAAGAAAAUAUUGCUAAAGAUCAGAAAUAGGUUUAAAUCAUAAGGUUUCCAGGAGAGCAAAUCUAGGAAUUUCUCUCAGUUCCAUCCUUAACACUGCGGUAGAAGCCAGUGACAACAGGGCUUUUAUUCCAGAUAUCAGACUGAGAAUUGGUCUUGACUUGUUGAACAAUGUAUUUUGUAUAUAUAUAAGCAAGGAAAAUAUUGAUAGUGAAAUAAUUAUGAAUACAUAAAUGUGAGACAGUAGGAAGCCAUGUUUAUAUGCAUUUUUCAGUUUAUAACCACACUUUUUAGAAUUUCCUGUCUUUUGUUUUAGCCAGACACAUGGGAUUAUUUUAGUGUACUUUUAUUUGUGUGUUCUGUUUCCUUUACAUUUUUUGUUUGAGCAGAAAAGGAUGGGGAUAAAAAUGCAGUCUUCAACAAAGUUUUACAAAGUUUAUGAUUCUAGGCUGUAGUUAUUCCCCUAUGUGCACUUAAGACAAUAAUAAAAAUGCAAGCACCAUAUUUUGAAGUUAUUAUGACUUAUUAUGUAAACAGAUGAUAAUAAAACAUUCUGAGUUAUUAUUCAAACACAAUACAUCAUAAUUGUUUCUUUGGAGACACUAUACAUUUCUGUCAUGGACUUUAUUUACAGGAUUCUUUGUAAAACCUUCACAAAGGUAAUUACUGUCUAUUCCCAUCAUCACAUUUCAAAAAUAGUGAUCUCAGCCUCUGAACAUGUAAACUCUGAAACAAAAGAAGAGUCCUAUUGUCUUCUUGUGUAAACAAAGCUUGUUUACAAGGUUGGGCAUUCGAACAUUAAGCCUUACUUGUAAUACUCAUGAUCAUACAGGUUUUCAGGAUAAUAUAUGUGAACUAACAGAUGGUGGUUUCAGGCCACUUAAUCUUAAAAAGCUAGUUUAUUUGAUGAAAAACUUAGGAACUGCCUUUGUAUUUUUAAAACAUUUCUGGGAAAUGGAGGAUGAAUAUCUGAUUAGUUCCCUUUGCAAUGAUACACAUCUGAAGGACUGGUUGAUAGACAGUAUUUAACAAACAUGGGUAGUAUCUUGUUCCACUCUGAGUGGAAAAAAAUCCCUUUUCUUUUGUUAAUAUAAAGUUCAUAAUUAAAUUAUUCUUGAAAUACUCUCAGACAUUUCAGCAAAAUAAAACAAAAACCAAAAGUUCUAUUUAGUGUGGAUUGGCAUUGUGUUGUACUUUAUCUCUCAAUUUGUUCUUGUCUUGUGGGUGGGGAAUAAGAUCCAGAUCAUCUUUCCUUGAGAAUUUACUCCUUCCUCCUUGCUGUGACUGAACCUAUCAGUGAUAAGGAUUGAUCUUUGGGAGGACUGAAGGAAUUCCACUGGGUAAUGUCUGAUAUUCAGAGUCCACAACCCCAAAAGGGAAGUCUUUGCCACACAUUGAACUGGAAACAAUAGGUUCUCAAAGAAAGUCACUUUCUUAAAUCUCUUCUCUGUGCCUUACUGGUGUGUUCUGAUAGAAGUCAAGAUGCUGAAAUAGACCUUGAAAACACACAUUUGCCUUAUCUUACUUUCUGGACACAAAUCCUAAAGUCAGAGAAGACAAUUGAGCUUUCCUAGAUUUCACCUCUUUGCCUCUUAAGGGUCCAGAAAGAAUGGGCCUCCCUUUUGAGGCACAUAUGAUAAAAGUAUGUCAAAUGACUUGACUAGGGACAAUGAUGAAGUAGUGAGCCACAGGCCAUGUAGAAAUGCCAGUGUAAUAUUAUCUAAUGAACCUUAGUGGGCUUACUCUGGACUACCACAAAGAAGAGAAAUGCAAAUUUAUUUUGCAACAAAUGCCUAAAGAGAAAUUGUUGGUUUCACAAGUAUUUGAGACUCAUCUAAUAAUUGCUUUUCCAUUUGUUUUUCAUCUCUGUAAUGUAACUGUAUAAAUAUAUUAAAAAAACAAACCAAUGCACUAGAAACAUCUCAAUGUGAUUAUCAUGUCAUAGUAGUUUUUACUAGAUAUACAAAUAAAAACUGAAAAAUGAUGAUGCCUGAUGCCUGGAAUUUUGUGCUCUGAACAAUGCUAGCUCAGUGAAAAAGAACCAUUUCAUAUUCAUUCUCUUUUGAAUACUGCAUGUGAUUUCUAGUCACAAUUUAAUGGACAAAAAUUUCUGGUAAAGAAGUAAAAAAAACACCACUUGAAAUUUCUGCCUGAAUUCAGGUAGAAGGACUUGCCCUGUUGAUUCUAAUAAGAUGUUUUCCAUACUGUUGUAUAAUCAUAAGCAUAACAUUAACUUUUUUCAUCAUUUGUAAUGUUAGCAACAGGCUGAGGGGCCAAAUAAGCCUUCGCUGCAAGAACUGACUCAUUCAGACCAAGAAGGGUAAGGGAUCUGCACAGAAUUCAUAGUAAUGCUCCUAAAUUGAAGUAAGAUACCUCAAAUGAUCACCGUCUUCAUGUCACUCUUUACGAUACUCCGUGUUUUCUUAGUUGCAAUGAUACAAAUAUAGGAAUUAUCUAUAGAUUGCAUAAAUGUUGAUAAUAAGUGUUGUUUCAGCAUGAAAUGUAUUGUCUGUUUCUGUGAAGCUAAUGGCUCUUUGGUCAUGGAGCUUAAAGUGAUGUGAUCUCAUGAAGAUUGUCAAGUUUGUCAUUACUUCUGAACUCCCUAAAUGAAUUAAAAUAAAUAAAGGAUUUUCUUCUAA